CCUAAGUAUUAAACACAACCCUAGGUUUAUUCUUCCACCCAUUUCCGCCGACCUCUCUACUUCCCAAGCCUCCCGAUUUCCAUCUCUGCUCUUCUCCGUCGCCUAGCCCGACGCCCAAGUGGUGAGGUCGAUUACCACAGCUAGCCGCCGACGAUCUCCGCCACCGCCCUUUGAGGUUAUUCCGUGCCCUAGCCAUCUCCACUGUUGCUCUCCCUCUCGCCACUGCCUAACGCGGCCGCUGCCACCCGAGGCCGCGCCACCCUCCGUCGAUUGCCGAGCAUCGCUGUCGACCCUCUCCUCUUUAGACGACAGCUCGACCAGGGGUUGGGCGAUGUGCUGGCUGCGCACAAGUCUUACUGAGCCGAGCCCUAACCUCUCGGUAUGCUCCCGAUCCUUCUCAGCCGCCGCCCUUCGCCUGAUUCAGCACCUCAGCUAUCACCUGGCAUCGCCGUUGACACACGCCGGCCAUCGUCUCUGGUCAGGCACUGUCAAUCCCACAGUAGUCCACCUAUUCUUGGGUUCCCUUCGAGAUAGUACCCUGGUCAUCACCACCUGCACUGUCGGUGAGUGGUUGUUUUGUGCAGAUUUUCUUCCUCACUGGGACUAGUUCCUCUUGUGUGUUCUUGUCAGGAUGAGCUCCAACAGCAGCUUCACGGUCACAUACUCAUCGACCACUUACCUUUGUUUUGAUUAUGCGUUUGAUUCUGCUUCUAUUGCUCAAUUGGUUUUCUGAUGGAGAAGGAGCAGUUCCAUCAUAUCACUGAUGAGGUAGCAGGUAAGGGAUUUAUGGAGUCACCUGGAUAUCAUGUCCGCCAGUUCCAUGUCACAUUCGAGGACGAUAUUAUGGUUUUGGUAUACCAUACGUUAGUUGUGUUUUCGUUAUGUUUCUUGUUCUUGUGUUUGUGUAUCUUGUAUUUGGUUUGAUAUUAUUGUGUCAAGCCGAGCCAGCUCGCAGUUAGUUGCUUUGUGUUUUGUGA